GGGGCCGACUGGUUUCGACCGAGCAGGGAAGGCAUGUCGUGGCGCGUCGAGGAGCAUGCGGGCCUCGUACCAAGCAUGCAAAAAACAAUUGCUGAGCGUCCUUACGCUCUCGCGGCCUAAUACAGGCCACGCACUCCCCGACCGACGCCCGAUAGGGCGGGGAGUGAAGACAUCGGGCUGGCUCGCGCGGGGUGCACCCGGCCGCGCGAGCG
rnacentral:tmRNA from 1 species